rnacentral:rRNA from 1 species
GAGUUUGAUCCUGGCUCAGGAUGAAUGCUGGCGGCGUGCCUAACACAUGCAAGUCGAGCGGCAGCGCGAGUAGUUUACUACUUGGCGGCGAGCGGCGGACGGCUGAGUAACGCGUGGGAACGUACCCCAAAGUGAGGAAUAACCGCCCGAAAGGGUGGCUAAUGCCGCAUAUGAUCUUCGGAUUAAAGGAUUUAUCCGCUUUGGGAACGGCCUGCGUACGAUUAGAUAGUUGGUGAGGUAAAGGCUCACCAAGUCUACGAUCGUUAACUGGUCUGAGAGGAUGAUCAGUCAGACUGGAACUGAGAUACGGUCCAGACUCCUACGGGAGGCAGCAGUGAGGAAUCUUCCACAAUGGGCGAAAGCCUGAUGGAGCAACGCCGCGUGCAGGAUGAAGGCCUUCGGGUCGUAAACUGCUUUUAUAAGUGAAGAAUAUGACGGUAGCUUAUGAAUAAGCACCGGCUAACUACGUGCCAGCAGCCGCGGUCAUACGUAGGGUGCAAGCAUUAUCCGGAGUGACUGGGCGUAAAGAGUUGCGUAGGUGGUUUGUUAAGUGAAUAGUGAAACCUGGUGGCUCAACCACACAGACUAUUAUUCAAACUGGCAAACUCGAGAGUAGCAGAGGUAACUGGAAUUUCUAGUGUAGGAGUGAAAUCCGUAGAUAUUAGAAGGAACACCAAUGGCGUAGGCAGGUUACUGGGCUAUUUCUGACACUAAUGCACGAAAGCGUGG